CCCUCUUCCUUGACAGCUUCAUUACCCGCCGUGAAUCAAAACCAGCCACAAUCCUACUUAACAAAAUUCGACAUGUUGUUCAUACUUCAACUCCAAAGAAAUUGUUUAAGAACAACCACUAAUCCAUGUUUUUUCUUCUUUGAGCUAGUAUAGACUUCAUCAAGUUGCACUGAAGCUUCUCCACGAACACAAAACUCUUGUUCUGAAGCAUCUGCAGCUGGUUCAAAAGUU